CCUACGGGAGGCAGCAGUGGGGGAUAUUGCACAAUGGGGGGAACCCUGAUGCAGCGACGCCGCGUGGGUGAAGGAGCGUUUCGGCGCGUAAAGCUCUAUCGGCAGGGAAGAAGAUGACGGUACCUGACCAAGAAGCCCCGGCUAACUACGUGCCAGCAGCCGCGGUAAUACGUAGGGGGCAAGCGUUAUCCGGAUUUACUGGGUGUAAAGGGGGCGCAGACGGCAAUGCAAGUUGAAUGUUUAAGGUACGGGCUCAACCUGUGCAAGCGUUUAAAACUGUUUUUCUUGAGUGGAGGAGAGGUAAGCGGAAUUCCUAGUGUAGCGGUGAAAUGCGUAAAUAUUAGGAGGAACACCAGUGGCGAAGGCGGCUUACUGGGCUUUAACUGACGCUGAGGCUCGAAAGCGUGGGUAGCAAACAGGAUUAGAUACCCCAGUAGUC
rnacentral:rRNA from 1 species